CAGUGUUGCACAGCGUCUAAUUUCACAGCCCAGCCCGCCUGACGUAAUUGGCCAAAACCGAAGUAUUUUUGUUUAUGUGUGCCCGCUCCCCCGCCCAAAAAAGCGCAUGGGAAGCUGCUGCCUCCCGCCUCCAAUGACCACGUCUGGCUGCAAAAACUAUUCAACCCGCCACCCCCUCCGGAAUUGCUCCUCGCUCCGAUGAAAAUCAUCUGUUGCUGACCGCAGAACACUACGUAAAACUCUCCGUUCCUCCGGGCCAAGAUGAACCGCUCUGAACCGAUUAAUAUUCGCCGGGAUCGAUCCUUCGACAGCGUUCUCAAUCGUCUGCUCCGGAUGAGGUCCCAGAACCAUGAGAGUUUUCGCGCCGCCAUGUAUAACUUCCUGAUCGCUGCCGGAGUGGCGGCCUUCGUGGCCGUCUGCUUCAUCCUCGGACCCUUCGUUCGACCACUGCUGUGGGCCUUCCUCAUGGGCGCAGUGCUCUUUCCAUUCAAGAGGCGACUGGCGGAGAGCGUGAACAGAUGGUUCCAGCGCCUGGAGGAGCGCGACUCGAACGUGCUGGUGUCCAUCUGCUUGUCGCCGCUGGAGGCCACGGAGCACUGUGGCCGGCUGCUGAUCGGAUGGCUCUGCGAGCAUUGGCAGCUGCUCCUGGCCGGAUGCGGGGUGGCCGGGUGCAUCAAGCUGUUGGUACUGUACGCUCCACAGGGCUUCCUGCUGGCCCUCUGGCACUGGAUCACAUUUUCGCACGGGCUAUUCGUCAAAAUUAUUGGGUUCCUUAACGUCUAUAUGCUCAUCUGCCUAGUGCUGGUUUACUUGAGCUGCGUCCACUUCUUCUGGAAGCCGGAAAACAGCUCUCAUUUCGUGGUUGCCGGACAAUCCAUGUGGAUAGCAGUUGCAGGCUAUCUGAGCAGCUUUCUGGGUGCCCUGCAGGUGCCUGUGUUCCUGCUGGUAAUGGCCUACGUAACAGCAUCGACGGCAUACCACCUGCAGACGAUAGAUGACUCCGGAUCCUACCUGCACCGGCUGCAGAAGCUGUUCGACAAGAACGAUUUCGAGCGAUCGCUGAGCAACUUCAGCAUUUGCGGCAGGCCGAGCAGUGAGCCACUGAGUCCGGGCUUGCAAUCGGAUGUGGAGGACGUCUCGCUGAGCGACACGGUUGACUCGACAGACACCUUCGAUGCUAAGCCGGGAGCCGAGGCUCCCAGCCACCAGAGCGAUACGUUCUUUAAGCUCUUGUUCUACGCCUGCCUGGGCACAUUUUUAUACCGCAACGUGUGGAUGUUUAUCCUGGCCGCUAUUCCAGUACUGCUGCACCUCAUCUAUACAAUUGGAGAUUACACAGGCAUUUUCAAGUUUGCUUGCUGCCAAAUCAACGAAGUCUACGCGGCAAUGCGGUUGUGGGCCAUCGAUCACCACUCCGCCGUGCUUCCGCUCUGCCUGCCGGGAGUUUUGGAACUAAACUACAAGAUUAACACUAUCGUACGGGACUCUCUGAAGUCCUCCGUGGAGUCAGUUACCUCCAUCCUCAUGAUCAUCCUCAUGCUGCUCAUCAUUGUCUUUCUGAGCGUGUUCUUUUGCGUGAACAUCUACUCGGAGACUAUUGAGGUGGCGUACCUGGGCAAGGAUCUAAUUAACAAGACGAUCACAGAUCGGCCUGAGCUAAUAGAUAUCUUGCCCGCCAACAUGCAGGCGUCCAUCGAUGAUGCGUUAGAUAACGCGCACCAUUAUGGGCGCCGAAAGAUUGAGACAUACAUCGACGACUGGCUGGCGGACGCGGACAAGGUGCACGCCACCAAGCUGAAGGAACAGAUUCUCGAGGUGUGGGACAGGCUUAUCCAGUACUGGAUUGACUUCAACAAGGCGGGCAGCUCGUACGGUCCGCGGGUACCCACGGAUGCGCUGAAAAGCACUUUUGGCGAGAUCGUCGACAAUCCAGGACAUUUUAAAGAGCUAGUUUUAGUGGCAAAACAGGGCAUUAUCGGCUGGGCGCAGAGCAACACUCAGACAAUCCUCGAAGUCGCUGAGUCUCUUUGGCACAUCAUCCGAACCAAUCUUUCGAUGAUCAUGGGCGUGACAGGAGAGAUUCUGUCCCUGGUGCUAUCUGGUGGACAGGCGUGCAUAGAGUUUAUAUUGGACAUGAUUGUAUUCUUUACGGCCCUGUUCUAUCUGCUCUCGAGCAGUCAGGAAAAGUACGCGCCGCUUCAAAUUACCAAGUACCUGGGCUAUUCCAGUUCGGGAAUAAAAAUCGCCGAUGCCCUGGAAAACUCCAUUACCGUGGUCCUAAUCUCCAUGUUCAGGUGCUCCACAUUUACGGGCUUGUUCACCUGGCUGGUGCACACGGUCUUUGGUGCCCGGAUAGUGUUUCUUCCCUCCGCCUUGGCGGCCAUGCUGGCGGCUGCUCCUUUCCUAGGCAGCUACUGGUGUGCGGUGCCAGCCUUCUUAGAGCUCUGGCUGGCCCAGGAUCGCUUUUAUGCAGGACUCAUACUGUUCCUGCUCCAGUUCUUUGUGCCCUCUUCUUUUGAAACGGCCAUCUAUGCGGACCUCAAAGGUGGUGGCCAUCCCUACCUUAAUGGUCUGGCUAUUGCGGGCGGCAUGUACUGGAUUGGCUGGCAGGGAGCCAUCUUCGGACCGCUGAUGCUUUGCUUCUUCAUCGGUCUCUUCGAGGUGGCCACUCUGGCCAUGCGCAGCCAUCAAGAGAACAGGUAAAUUAGUUUAAAGAAGGCCAUUACGAUGAUUAUGUUUGAUUUGCAUGCGAAGUAUGAACUUUAUCAGACUUGUGCGGCCCGAGGAUUGAAGCACAGCACCGAUGAGGAGACGCGGACCACGUGAGUUGAUCAUGGGACAGAAACUACGAAUUUCCUUCUAAUACUCGAACUGCAAACUAACAUAAGCUGUGUGGCCAAACAUUUGACAAUCAAACUAAGAUUGGCCCAAAUAUCAUACCCUAGAGUAAAGCUGACGUUUUUCUUGACCGCUGCUAAUAGUUUCGCAGUUGCUAAUCCAUCCGAUUUGCAAAUUCGGUUCUUAUUUUUACUAAACCACUCAAAUGUUCAUGAUUCCGUCUGAACAUCAACCGCUCCUUUGUAUCUCUGCUAUCGAUCUUAGUUUUUUACAUACAAUAUGUACCUCGAAUUGUUUGUAGUCGCGAAACAUUUGCAAAGCCUUUAAGUACCGAUUAUGUGCUCGCUACUAAUUGCUUAAUGUAAACUUGUGAUUUGUUAAAACUUAAAUGUAAAAUGUGUUGCAAAUAUAUUUCUAUACUAACUUUAA